UGAUGGGAAACAGGACUCUUCACCAAUCCAGGAUCUCUCUCGGAUAUUGGUUUACACCGAAGUUAGUCCCCUUCAGUUCGUGGACCUGGUUCUUCACCUGCUCUUUUCUUUUUCACCAUUUAUUUUAUCUUCUUAUUUUCUGCAGAGAGUCGGGUCAACCCCUCGAGAUCACUCGGCAAACCACAGCUACGUCCAUCCUCGGUGGAAACUGGGAACGCCAGUGAAUCUGAGUUAAAGUCCCUGGAAACUGAGGAAACACUAGUGG